rnacentral:lncRNA from 1 species
UGGGUAUUAUAUUAAUAAAUGAUACAACUCGGAACAGCCAGAUGGAAGAGGUGAAUUGCGCAGGGUAUGGGGGAAGGGCCUUGAGCUGCCAUGCCCCUCAGAGUACACCCCCUCCCAGCACCUCCAUGUGUUCACCAGCCCCAAAGCUCAUCAAGUCUCUUUGUUGAAGGGUUUUGAUAAAGAGUAGUUUCCAGUGCCCCUCCCACCCAGAGGUCAGUGGGUGGGGCUGAAAGUUCCAAGCCUGUAAUCCCUUAGUCUUUAUGGUGACCAGCCCAUCCUGAGGCUCCCUAGUGGCCCCAUCCUAAGUUGCCUCAUUAGCAUAAAUCAGGUGUGACCAAAAGGGCUUGUUAUGAAUGACAAAGAUAGUCCUAUCACCUCUGUAACUCAGGCAGUUCCAGGGGCUUUAGAAGCUUUGUACAGAACCCAAAUAUAACAAAGGAUGCUUCUAUCACCCUUAUCUUUCAUGAAAUUACAAAGUUCUAGGAUCUCUGUGACAGGAACUGAGGACAAGGACCAAAUAUCUCUUAUACCACAAGAUACUAUAUUCUGUUGAAUUUCCUUGGCAUUCUUUUUUACUAGUUCCUCCUCAUGUUCCUGUAGCAGGACGAGCCGUGGACAAAACCCCAUAGACACCGAGAUAGUGAAGGAAGUAGCUUUAAUCCUCUGGAAGCAUUGGCAGACUAGCGUCUUAAAAUCCGAGCUUGUUGAGUGCACAGUUUCUGUCCCUUUUAAGGGCUCACAACACUAAAGAUUUUACAUGAAAGGGCCGUGAUUGAUUGAGCAAUCUAGGGGGUAUGUGACAGGGGCUGCAUGCACCGGUAAUCACAGUGAAACAGAACAGAACGAGAAGUUUCACAAUGUCCUUCCAUACAAUGUCUGGAAUCUAUGGAUAACAUUGGUUGCUAGGUCAUGGGUUGAAUUUUAACUAUCAGGCUAAGGUCAGGCAGGCCCAGGCCUGGUUUUGGGUCUGGUGCCUGGCACCCAGCUGCCUGCCUUUGGUUUCGCUUCCUUGUUUCUUCUUAAAACAGGUACUGAGUAUAAAACAAUAUAGAACAAUAUGGGGGGGUCUCUUUCUCUCUUCUCUCAUUUCCCCCCUUUGAGACUCUCACUCAUUUUGUUAGUGGGAAUUCUCACUUUCAUUUUCACUACUUAUGUCUUCCUGUGCAAUAGAUCGAUAGUGAUUCAUAUAAUAUACUUGUGCUGAAGCAUUCUGGUGAACUAAGGUAGCAAUGAAGCUUUUUAUCAUUUGAAGAAGUACAGGUAGCAAACAAGGGAGUAGUAAGCAGGUUCCUAUUACUAUUAUAACUCCUAUUAUAAGAGUUUUAAAUCCUCCUAUUGCUGGGAACCAAUUUCCAAACAUGGCCCCAGGAUCAAAUCCGUGCCACACUUGCACAUAUACAUGUGCCAGUUUUGUUGUAUUUUUAACUAUGUCUUCAACUACUUGCCCUUGAUCAUCUAUGUGUAGACAGCAAUUAGUAAGGUUAAAUUUUCCACAAACUCCUCCUUCAGCUGCUAGCAAGUAGUCGAGAGCUAGUCUAUUUUGGUAGAUAGCAUUCCUCAUCUGAGUCUCUUGCCAGGCAAGAACAGUCAAGGCUUGACCGGUUUUAUUAGCAAUAAUUUCUAAAACAGCUUGCAAACGUAUGAUUCAGUUGAGCAUGUAGAUGGGGGUCUGAUAUCCUCACGAGCCAUCUUGUGCCCAAGUGGCGGGCCCAUAGUAUUGUAUAAUUCUUUCAGGGGGCCAUUCAUCAUCUUUGCAGUUACCUAUGGCUAUGCUUUGUUUUUUGCGGGAAGCAUAGAAGGGAAUCCUAGGAGUUCGCCUGUUUUUAUGGGCAGUAGGAAGAAAGACGGUUUAAUAGUGCCAAUUACACAGCUACCUGUCCACUGAUCAGGUAGCUUAGCAUAGGCUCUAUGUCCACAUAUCCAGUAUAACCCAGUGGGGGCAGUCCAGUCCCGGUGGAAUUCUGGGUGGGUCCAAACAGUCUGCAAUUUUGGAAAUUUACUGAAUGGAUCUUUUUCUGUGUAAUUGGAACUCCACCAUGUAACUGUUUUUGUGGUACCAUUAUACAGUUUUUGUCCAAGACAACUAAGCCGUCCUACAGGAUGAGUGAACUCUUUUCCUUCUCUAGCUAUGCAAUAUUGUCCAAUAAUUGAGGCUUUUAGAACCCAGAAAUUGUCAGGACUAGGAUGCGGUUCUCUAGAUUGGGAAAAAAGCUAUACAGCAUAAAAUAAGUAUAUCUGCCAUGAAUCAUAUUCAUGUACAAAUGUGUGUCAAUACUGGUCUUGUGUCAUCUGGGCUACUUGGAAAAAAGAUAAAAAAGAUCUUGUUUGGCUCCAAAAAGGAAAAAGUAGCCCCUCCUGCACAAGUGGAAGCUGCAACCCUUUAGAAUUAAUAAUUACAAAUCAGGCUGCCCACUUCCUGGAUUACAUACUUUGUACUGAGUGUUAUUAUAUAAACAUGUUCCUUAUGGAGUUCCUGGGCACUCAUAAUAACUAUGGAACAAAAAGAUUGUUUUAACCUGUUGUCCUACCUCAGUGACCUGAUGUAGCCACUGAAAGCAGUCUUCCAUGUGAAAAGAAGCAGUGGAAGCUUUUACCCCACAAGUCCAUGUCAUAAGGAAAAUAAGUCCCAUGACGAUUUUCCUCAUGCUUCGGCCGUGCGCGGACCCGUCAGCUUCCGGGUGUGACUGGAGCAGGGCUUGUCGUCCUCCUCAGGGUCACUUUACAGGGAUUGUCCAGGCUUGGUUUGGCCCUCCAGGUUUCAGGGGCUGCGGGAUUUUUUUACGUGGCUGUGGUGAACCCAGGCCGGGAUUCUGUCCACCUUUACAGCUGUGGGAGUGGUCAGGAUAACGAUCUGCGUUCCUUUCCACCGUGGCCGUGAAGGAGCUACGUUCCAGUCCUUGAUCCACACAUGGUCACCUGGAGAAAAAGGGUGAACUGGGGAGAGUAAGCUGACCGGGCACCUCUCAUUUACCCAAGUUGAGAUUGUCUGGGUAAUCUUCCCUAGGGCCUGUAGCUAUCGCUGCAGUUCAGUUUCACCCAACUCUUGGGGAGUACCCGGAAGUCCUCGCAGUAUAGGAGGAGGCCUAUGAUAUAAUAUUUCAUAAAGGGAGUAUCCUGUUUUCUUAGAGGGGGUGCACCUAAUUUUAAACAAUACCAUAGGAAGGGCCUAUAUCCAUUUUAAUCCUGUCUCUUGACAUACUUUCCCUAAACUAUUUUUGAUAGUCCAAUUCAUUCCCUCCACCUUUCGGGAACUCUGAGGUUGGUAGGUGGCAUGUAGCUUCCAAGUGAUUCCUAAUACCUUUGCCGUCCUCUGUACUAAGUCAGCCACAGAUGCCGGCCCAUUAUCUGAGCCGAUUCGUAGAGGCAGUCCAAACCUAGGGAUGAGAUCUCGAAGAAGCACACGGGUUACUUCACAAGCUUUUUCAGUUCGUGUUGGAUAAGACUCUAUCCACCCAGAGUAAGUACACACUAGAACAGUAAAUACUUGUUACCUCCGCAUUUGGGCAUCUCUGUGAAGUCCACUUGAAGAUCUUCAAAGGGAGCUGCUCCACAGGCUUGUGUGCCGGGAGGAACAGGGGACCUUGCUUUGCAUUGUGCAUCGCCGCGCUACUGUUUUAGCAAGAGCUGGCAAGUGUGAGAUGUAGAAAUACCGGCUUAACAGCUUUUCAAGUGACUCCUGGCCUAAAUGGGUAGUUUCAUGUACAGCCAGCACAACUGCGGCUCCUAGCAGCUGUGGCACAGCUAUUCUCCCAUCUGGUGACUUUAUCCAUUCUUCUUUUAUUGUUUGUCCUCCCUUUGCCUGAAGAACGUCUUUUCCCUUUUUAGAAUAAGUAGGCACCAGAUCAGGUGUUUGAGGGAGUAGAGGGGCUGUGACUGAUGCCUGGUAAAGAGUAGAUGCUGCUUUUUGUGCCUCUGUGUCUGUUCGGGAGUUUCCUUGGCUUACUGAGGUGGAAGCUUGCAGGUGUCCCCUGCAAUGCAUGACUGCUACCUUUUGGGGUUUCCAUACUGCCUCUAAUAAUUGCAGAAUUUCUUGUUGAUAUUUUAUGUCCUUUCCCCCGGAAUUUAACAGGGCUUUUUCUUUAUAUAAUGCUCCGUGCACUUGGAGGGUUAGAAAGGCAUAUCGAGAGUCAGGAUAAAUGUUCACAGUCUUACCUUCACGGAGUUCUAGAGCCCGGGUUAAAGCAAUGAGCUCUGCCUUCUGGGCUGAAGUGCCGUGAGGCAACGGUUUGUCUUCAAUAACAUCAUCCAAGGUCACCACCGCACAUCCUGCGCAUCUUUCUCCUUGCGGAUUGAUGAAGCUGCUCCCGUCCACGUAUAACUCCCAGUCCACUGAUGCCCAUGGCUGGUCUCGAAGAUCGGGCCUGCUAGAAUAGACUGAGUCCAACACUUCCACACAGUCAUGUUCGACAGGGCUGUCUGAUGCUGGGAGUAAGGUGGCAGGAUUCGGAGUGUUACAGACGUCAGUGGUUAUGUGGGGGUUUUCACAUAACAAGCUUUGGUACUUGGUUAAUCUAGCAUUUGUUAACCAAUCAUGUCCUUUGGUAUUCAUUAAAGUUACCACUGCAUGGGGGGGGCCUUUAUACUUAAGUUUUGCCCAAGGGUUAGCUUGUCUGCUUCUUGUGCUAACAGGGCUGUAGCUGCCAGGGCUCUCAGACAUGGAGGCCAGCCUUUUGAAACUCCGUCUAGCUGUUUUGAGAGGUACGCCACUGGUCUUGGCCAGGGCCCCACAGUUUGGGUUAAAACUCUGACUGCCAUUUUUUGUCUUUCUGACACAUAGAGUGUAAAGGGCUUUGUCAAAUCUGGUAGUCCUAAGGCUGGGGCUGACAUAAGUUUUUCCUUUAACUUGCAAAAGGCUUGCUGUUGCAGAGGUCCCCAUUCAGAAGGCUCCUGGUCGCCCCCCUUUGUAACCCCAUACAAUGGUUUGGCUAGCACCGCAAAGUUUGGAAUCCAUAAUCUGCAAAAUCCCACGGCUCCUAGAAAUACCCUUACUUGCCUUCUGGUUUUAGCGGGAGACUUGCUUAGUAAGCUGAGAGCCACCAUUUCCUUUACAAAACAGGGCUCUUUGCAGGCUGAAGUUACAGGCAACAGGAGUUAUCAUGGCCCUUACAGUCCCACGAGAAGAAGAAUGGAGACUUUUUCUGAGCCAGGUCAGGAGAUAAAACUGGCUCUAGCUAAGAGUGUGGGCAGAGGACAAUCCUCCGGGCUGGCCACUGCAGUAGGCAGUAGCUUAGGUUCCGGUAAGCUGCAGGUGACCUGCUUUCUUCCUGACCCCAGGCUGCGCUCCCCUUUCCGGAUAGUGAAUCCCAGGUAGCGUACCUGCUGUCUGCAGAUCUGAGCUUUCUUCUUGGACACCUUAUACCCACAGUCCUCCAGGUGUCAAAGCAGGGCAUCCGUCCCUUUUGCACACCCAUCUGCCAUGGAGUCUCCUAGCAGAAGGUCGUCCACGUACUGGAGCAAGAUGCAGCCUAGGUCUUUAGCAGGAAACUUCUGGAGGUCUCGAGCCAACGCCUCCCCGAAGAUGGUGGGGGAGUUUUUAAACCCCUGGGGAAGCCGAGUCCAAGUGUACUAAGUAGUGACACCUGACCCCGGAUCUUCCCACUGAAAGGCAAACAGCUUUUGGCUCUCAGGAGCUAGCCUGAUGCUAAAGAAGGCAUCCUUCAAGUCCAGACAAGUGAACCAGCUGUCCUCAGCCAGC